CAGUCGCCACGGGAAUACGUAGGGUGCGAGCGUUAAUCGGAAUUACUGGGCGUAAAGCGUGCGCAGGCGGUUUUGUAAGACAGGCGUGAAAUCCCCGGGCUUAACCUGGGAAUGGCGCUUGUGACUGCAAAGCUAGAGUGCGGCAGAGGAGGAUGGAAUUCCGCGUGUAGCAGUGAAAUGCGUAGAUAUGCGGAGGAACACCGAUGGCGAAGGCAAUCCCCUGGGCCUGCACUGACGCUCAUGCACGAAAGCGUGGGGAGCAAACAGGAUUAGAUACCCCUGUAGUCCCUGUCUCUUAUAU
rnacentral:rRNA from 1 species